AUAAUAAGAGUCAAGAUAGAUUUUAUGACUCAAUAGAUAAUACAUUUGUCUAUGAACCCAGAGACUUCAGGUUUUAUCUAUCUAUCAUUUUUUGUUGUUUUUUUUUUUUUCAUGUUAUAAGGGGUUAGACAGACCCCCAACCUAUAGAUAAAUCAUCAACCAGUGUUUGAUACAAGACGCUGCCCAAAAGUAACAAUGCCCAACGGAAGCAACAAGGGGACGCAGAAUUCAGGUUUUAGACCCGAUCCGACCCAACGACCUCGACCCAGCCCGGCUCUGCGCAUGUAAGUCCGCCGCAUUGCAUAUUGAUUUUCCUUUCAUUGUAGUC
rnacentral:lncRNA from 1 species